rnacentral:tRNA from 1 species
AGCUUUGUAGUUUAUUAUAAAAUUUAUACUUGUGGAGUGUAAGAGUUUUAAGCUAUA